AAACUAUGGUGAGGACAUUUUCUCAACAAAUCUUUAAAUCUUUCCCAAGCUUCAUACAAGCUUUCUUGAUCAUGAUGAACAAAGGUCAUAAUUUCAUUUCGUAAUUUU
rnacentral:snoRNA from 1 species